UGUGAUCUCGGCUCACUGCAACCUCCACCUCCUGGUUCAAGCGAUUCUCCUGCCUUAGCCCCACAAGUAGCUAGGAUUACAGGUGUGCACCACCACAACUGGCUAAUUUUUUUAUUUUUAGUAGAGACGGGGUUUUGCCAUGUUGGCCAGGCUGGUCUCAAACUGCUAGCCUCAGGUGAUCCUCCCACUUUGGCUCCCAGAGUGCUGGGAUUACAGGAACAAGCAACAGUGCUCGGCCUCUAGCCUUAAUUUUCUAACUUAUGCAUUGUAUGUUCCAGUUUUACUGCUAAAAUGAACAUUAAUUUACUACUGAACAUAUUAUUUUGAUAAUUAUAUGUCCAUUAUGAUGUACAUUAAAAAAAUAGAAUAUAACCCUUGAGAUGUCAUGAAUGUCACUGUAAAAGCAAAGACAAGUUUAUUUAAAUAAAAUUAUAAAGUAAGUAAUAGUAUUAAGUGGUAUGUGGAAAUUAUAAAAUUGCAGAGAUCUAUGCAAAUGAUUAAAUUCGGGCCAAAAGUGGAUUAGAGGGAGAAUGGGGAAUAAUUGCUAAUGGGUACAGGGUUUCUUUUUUUUUUCUUUUUUUUUUUUUUGAGGCGGAGUCUCGCUCCGUCGCCCAGGCUGGAGUGCAGUGGCGCAAUCUCGGCUCACUGCAAGCUCCACCUCCUGGGUUCAUGCCAUCAAGUGAUUAGUUUUACAUUCCUACACUAAUUUCUUAGCUUAAAAAUGGCUUUAGUAGCUUAGACUGACUUCUUUGCUGAAAUGUCUUACUAGAACUUGGUGGAAAGCGGAACUACUAUACUAAUGAGUUAGCUAAGGGGACAAUAUUGUUAGAAAUUGAAUAUGGUAAUAGAAAUGAAACACGACAGCUGUGCAGGUUAAGUGAUUUU
rnacentral:lncRNA from 1 species